AUGAUAAAAAUUAGUGGCAGACGGGUGAGUAAUGCAUAGGAAUCUACCUAGUAGUAUGGGAUAGCCACUAGAAAUGGUGGGUAAUACUGUAUAAUCCCUGCGGGGGAAAGAUUUAUCGCUAUUAGAUGAGCCUAUGUUAGAUUAGCUAGUUGGUAGGGUAAAGGCCUACCAAGGCAGUGAUCUAUAGCUGGUCUGAGAGGAUGAUCAGCCACACUGGAACUGAGAUACGGUCCAGACUCCUACGGGAGGCAGCAGUGGGGAAUAUUGGACAAUGGGCGCAAGCCUGAUCCAGCUAUGCCGCGUGAGUGAGGAAGGCCUUAGGGUUGUAAAACUCUUUCAGUGGGGAAGAUAAUGACGGUACCCACAGAAGAAGUCCCGGCAAACUCCGUGCCAGCAGCCGCGGUAAUACGGAGGGGGCAAGCGUUGUUCGGAAUUAUUGGGCGUAAAGGGCAUGUAGGCGGUUCGGUAAGUUAAAGGUGAAAUGCCAGGGCU
rnacentral:rRNA from 2 species